rnacentral:rRNA from 1 species
GAUGAACGCUGGCGGCGUGCCUAAUACAUGCAAGUCGAGCGAACAGACGAGGAGCUUGCUCCUCUGACGUUAGCGGCGGACGGGUGAGUAACACGUGGAUAACCUACCUAUAAGACUGGGAUAACUUCGGGAAACCGGAGCUAAUACCGGAUAAUAUAUUGAACCGCAUGGUUCAAUAGUGAAAGACAGUUUUGCUGUCACUUAUAGAUGGAUCCGCGCCGCAUUAGCUAGUUGGUAAGGUAACGGCUUACCAAGGCGACGAUGCGUAGCCGACCUGAGAGGGGGAUCGGCCACACUGGAACUGGGACACGGUCCAUACUCCUACGGGAGGCAGCAGUAGGGAAUCUUCCGCAAUGGGCGAAAGCCUGACGGAGCAACGCCGCGUGAGUGAUGAAGGUCUUCGGAUCGUAAAACUCUGUUAUUAGGGAAGAACAAAUGUGUAAGUAACUAUGCACGUCUUGACGGUACCUAAUCAGAAAGCCACGGCUAACUACGUG